rnacentral:rRNA from 1 species
ACCAAAUCUAGCCCUGCCAUCUCUACACCCAAUUCUCUAUAUUAAACUAAAACAUUUAUCUACCAAUAAAAGUAUAGCAGAUAGAAAUUUUAUUCAGGCGCAAUAGAGACAGUACCAUAAGGGAAUGAUGAAAGAUAAUUUUAUAGUACAAAAUAGCAAGGAUUAACCCCUCUACCUUUUGCAUAAUGAAUUGACUAGAAAAAUCUGAGAUACAGAACCGUAGCCAGAAACCGCGAAACCAGACGAGCUAUCUGCAAGCAAUCUGUAGGACUAACUCAUCUAUGUGGCAAAAUAGUAGAAGACUUACAGACAGAGGUGAAAUGCCAAUCGAGCCUGGUGAUAGCUGGUUGUCCAGAAUAGAAUCUUAGUUCUACCUAAAAUUUACCAAAAAAAAACGAAAUAAUUCUAAUGUAAAUUUUAGAGCUAUUCAAAAGGGGUACAGCUCUUUUGAUCAAGGAUACAACCUUAACUAGAGAGUAAAUUAAUAGUAACUUCAUAGUUGGCCUAAAAGCAGCCAUCAAUUAAGAAAGCAUUAAAGCUCAAAAACCAAUCAAAAUAAAAAAUACCGAAAUUAAUUAAUAAUCUCCUAGACAUAAUACUGGACUAAUCUAUAUAACAGAGGAAAUAAUGUUAAUAUAAGUAACAAGAAUUAUUUCUCCCUGCACAAGCUUAUAUCAGACCGGAUACCCACUGAUAGUUAACAGCCAAAUAAUCAAAUACAAAAAUAAAACCUCUAUUAUACCCACGGUUAAUCCAACACAGGUGUGCUUUAAGGGAAAGAUUAAAAGAAGUAAAAGGAACUUGGCAAAUACUAAACCCCGCCUGUUUACCAAAAACAUCACCUUGAGCAUUACUAGUAUUCCAGGCACUGUCUGCCCAGAGACUAAACGUUAAAUGGCCGCGGUACUCUGACCGUGCAAAGGUAGCAUAAUCAUUUGUUCCUUAAAUAGGGACUUGUAUGAAUGGCCACACGAGGGUUUAACUGUCUCUUACUUCCAAUCAGGGAAAUUGACCUUCUCGUGAAGAGGCGAGAAUAAACAUAUAAGACGAGAAGACCCUAUGGAGCUUAAAUUAACUAAUUCAACUACUACACUAUUAAUCUAUAAGACACAACCAAACAGUAUAAUGAAUUAGCAAUUUUGGUUGGGGUAACCUCGGAGAAGAAAAAAACCUCCGAAUGAUACUUUAAUCUAGACUUCACCAGUCAAAAUUUAUAAAUCAUUUAUUGACCCAAUAUUUGAUCAACAGGAUUAAGUUACCCUAGGGAUAACAGCGCAAUCCUAUUUUAGAGUCCCUAUCGACAACAGGGUUUACGACCUCGAUGUUGGAUCAGGACAUCCUAAUGGUGCAGCCGCGAUUAAGGGUUCGUUUCUUCAAUGAUUAAAGUCCUACGUGAUCUGAGUUCAGACCGGAGUAAUCCAGGUCGGUUUCUAUCUGUAAACAAUUUCUCCCAGUACUAAAGGACAAGAGAAAUAGGGCCAACCUUACCAAGGCGCCCUCAGCUAAAUUCAUGAAUCAAUCUUAAUUUAGAUAAGCUAAUCUACUCUCUACCCAAGACUAGGGUUU